GCAGCAGUGGGGAUAUUGCACAAUGGGGGAAACCCUGAUGCAGCCAUGCCGCGUGUGUGAAGAAGGCCUUCGGGUUGUAAAGCACUUUCAGUAGGGAGGAAAGGAUGAAGUUUAAUACGCUAUAUCUGUGACGUUACCUACAGAAGAAGGACCGGCUAACUCCGUGCCAGCAGCCGCGGUAAUACGGAGGGUCCGAGCGUUAAUCGGAAUUACUGGGCGUAAAGCGUGCGCAGGCGGUUUGUUAAGCGAGAUGUGAAAGCCCUGGGCUCAACCUAGGAAUAGCAUUUCGAACUGGCGAACUAGAGUCUUGUAGAGGGGGGUAGAAUUCCAGGUGUAGCGGUGAAAUGCGUAGAGAUCUGGAGGAAUACCGGUGGCGAAGGCGGCCCCCUGGACAAAGACUGACGCUCAUGCACGAAAGCGUGGGGAGCAAACAGGAUUAGAUACCCUGGUAGUCCACGCCGUAAACGAUGUCUACUCGGAGUUUGGUGUCUUGAACACUGGGCUCUCAAGCUAACGCAUUAAGUAGACCGCCUGGGGAGUACGGCCGCAAGGUUAAAACUCAAAUGAAUUGACGGGGGCCCGCA
rnacentral:rRNA from 1 species